rnacentral:rRNA from 1 species
AUGAACGCUGGCGGCGUGCCUAAUACAUGCAAGUCGAGCGAACAGACGAGGAGCUUGCUCCUCUGACGUUAGCGGCGGACGGGUGAGUAACACGUGGAUAACCUACCUAUAAGACUGGGAUAACUUCGGGAAACCGGAGCUAAUACCGGAUAACAUGUUGAACCGCAUGGUUCAACAGUGAAAGACGGUUUUGCUGUCACUUAUAGAUGGAUCCGCGCCGCAUUAGCUAGUUGGUAAGGUAACGGCUUACCAAGGCAACGAUGCGUAGCCGACCUGAGAGGGUGAUCGGCCACACUGGAACUGAGACACGGUCCAGACUCCUACGGGAGGCAGCAGUAGGGAAUCUUCCGCAAUGGGCGUAAGCCUGACGGAGCAACGCCGCGUGAGUGAAGAAGGUCUUCGGAUCGUAAAACUCUGUUAUUAGGGAAGAACAAAUGUGUAAGUAACUAUGCACGUCUUGACGGUACCUAAUCAGAAAGCCACGGCUAACUACGUG